UAGGUAAACAAGACAAUAGCUUGAUAUUUCAAGAGGAAAGUCCGGGCUGCUGUGAAGUGUGGUUCCAUUUAAAUAAUGGCUAGAGUAAUCUAAGGGAUAGUGCAACAGAGAGUAGACAGCCAAUUUUAUUGGUGAUGGUGAAACGGUGAGGUAAGAGCUCACCAGCAAAAAAAGUAACUUUUUUGGCUUUGUAAACCCAACCUGCAGCAAGAAGAUCUGGUAUUUACUUCACAUUUUUUGGUCUUCGCAAGAGCGUUAAAGUGAUUUAACGCCUAGAUAAAUUAUUGUCCUUGACAAAACGCGGCUUAUUGUUUACCUA
rnacentral:RNase_P_RNA from 1 species